rnacentral:rRNA from 1 species
GAUGAACGCUGGCGGCGUGCCUAAUACAUGCAAGUCGAGCGAACAGACGAGGAGCUUGCUCCUCUGACGUUAGCGGCGGACGGGUGAGUAACACGUGGAUAACCUACCUAUAAGACUGGGAUAACUUCGGGAAACCGGAGCUAUUACCGGAUAACAUGUUGAACCGCAUGGUUCAACAGUGAAAGACGGUCUUGCUGUCACUUAUAGAUGGAUCCGCGCCGCAUUAGCUAGUUGGUAAGGUAACGGCUUGCCAAGGCAACGAUGCGUAGCCGACCUGAGAGGGUGAUCGGCCACACUGUAACUGAGACACGGUCCAGACUCCUACGGGAGGCAGCAGUAGGGAAUCUUCCGCAAUGGGCGAAAGCCUGACGGAGCAACGCCGCGUGAGUGAAGAAGGUCUUCGGAUCGUAAAACUCUGUUAUUAGGGAAGAACAAAUGUGUAAGUAACUAUGCACGUCUUGACGGUACCUAAUCAGAAAGCCACGGCUAACUACGUG